rnacentral:rRNA from 1 species
UACGUAGGGUGCGAGCGUUGUCCGGAAUUACUGGGCGUAAAGAGCUCGUAGGUGGUUUGUCGCGUUGUCCGUGAAAACUCACAACUCAAUUGUGGGCGUGCGGGCGAUACGGGCAGACUGGAGUACUGCAGGGGAGACUGGAAUUCCUGGUGUAGCGGUGGAAUGCGCAGAUAUCAGGAGGAACACCGAUGGCGAAGGCAGAUCUCUGGGCCGUAACUGACGCUGAGGAGCGAAAGCGUGGGGAGCGAACAGG